AGCUAGCUGACAGUUUACACGCCUGAUGAUGAUUUAUUUGUUAUCGAAUUUACCCAUGGAAAAGUAAUUAGUUACUUAUGUUUCACUUAAUUAUUGUCGAGUUAUUCAAAAGUGAUGUGGAUUCUGUGUGUAUUUGUAUGUAUGCCUAUAAUUGUUUCGUUUAGCUAGCUCAUGAAGUGUUUUUAGAUAGAUAUGAAGUCUUGUGAAAUCACUAGUCCCAUAUAGUGAUAGCCAUAACGAUGAUGAAGAGUGCUGCGUUGGAAAACGUGGACUUAAGCGCAAACCAAUGAGAAAGGAAAAGAAGAAAAAUGACAAUAGAGUACUUCCUACCCCGUGUAUAAAUAUCAAAUGUAACAAGGAUUGUCGAAGUGUGCCAGACAUUUCCCGGCAAAAUAUUAACGAUCAUUACUGGGGUAUGUCAAACACAAGACGGCUAACAUGGCUUCAUGCAAAUAUCAAACGAAAGCAAAUUAAAAAAAGGCGAGCUGGGCAGGAAGCAAAGCGUGUGCAAAGGCGAAACUGGACGUUUGAAUAUUCCCUAUUGUGCGAUGGAAAAAUAUUUAAAGUUUGCCAGAUUUUUUUUCUUAAAACUUUAAAUAUUUCUCAAAUGGUUUUGAGACAUGCAUUAAAGAAAACUAUUAGUUUUGAAAGCCGAAAAAACACCACAUAAUAAAACAGACCAUCGUAAAAUAGAAUUUAUCAAAGAUUACAUAAAAAAGUCUAUUUACCAAGGGAAUUCAGAAAUGUAUCCAAUUUAUAUAAAUUGUAUCUUAAUUAUUUGGAAGAUCAAGACUUAAAUGAGUUCACAGUAUCAGAAUAUUUCGAAGUGUUUUUAAUACAAAGUUUUCAAUUGGCUUCCAUUUGCCAAAAAAGGACAAAUGCACGAUUUGCGAAAAUAUAAAGUAUAUUAACAAAGAUGAUAAAGAAAAAGUUCAGAAUUCAAAAGAAUUUCAAAUUCAUAUAAACAUUAAAAAGCAAGGUACAGCUACUUUUCUCAAAGAACAAGCGGAAAGUAAAAUGGGCCAAAAAUUUCUUUGCGCUAGUUUCGAUAUGCAAAAGGUUUUGCAUACUCCUUUUUCCAAAAAUGUUACCCUUUUUUAUUCACGCAAAUACGCUUACUACAACCUAAGUGUGUAUGAAAGUGGGACCCGAAAUGGAUACUGUUUUUGUGGGGCGAAAUCGAUGGCAAGAGAGGCAGUAAUGAAAUAUGCUCAGCUCUCUUGAGGUAUCUUCUUAUUCUAGAUAGUCGGAAAAAAACCGAUGAUCUGAGCCUUUAUUGCGAUAGUUGCGCAGGCCAAAAUAAGAACAAGGCUGUGCUAGCAAUGAUAUCAUAUUUUUUAAAUUCUUCUAUUUUCCUGAAAACAAUAAAGAUUACCUAUUUACUUCCCGGACACACUAUGAUACCGGUAGACUCAGUACAGCACUAUAGAAUCUUUUAUCAGAAACCGUAAUGUUUGGGCACCCAGUGAAUGGCAGAUACCGAUUAGAAAUUCAAGAACAAAUCCGUCAGGGUACGAAUGCAUAGAAUUACAUCACACUGACUUUAAGAAUUGGAAACUUUUUGCGAACUCACUAUUAUAAAUAUUAUUAGAAAAGAACAAUUGUCAAUAGAUUUAAGCUACGAGUAUUUCGAAAACUCAAACAAUAAACUUAUUAAUUUGUUCAACGUUAACCAAAACAUUGAAUCUUUAUAUAGUUGUAAAUUAAUUAUAUCAACAAAAAAAUUCGUAGACUUAAGUAAUUUAUGUAAUAAAAAUAGUAUACCACAAAAGUAUCAUAAGGAAUACUUAAACCUUCGACAUUCAAAUUUAAUAAAGGACUGUUUGGAGGAAACGGAUGAAGAAGAUUAAACUUAGUUUAAUUAUUUUGUAAUAAUAAAGUAUAUACUGUAAUAAUAAAAUGA